GCAUCGGGGCGAGCGUGAGGAGGGGUACUCCAAGUGCGCUCGCGCAAGCGAGUGUCUUUUGCUGAGUGCACAUAGCCCUGCGAAUAAAAGCGGGGUAAGACCGGUGCCAGCACCCGCGAUAAAUGAUAAUAUGUAGAU
rnacentral:rRNA from 1 species